rnacentral:lncRNA from 1 species
GAGGACCCCGAGGAGUUCUACGUGCUGAGCGAGACCACCUUGGCCCAGCCCCAGAGCCUGGAGAGGCACAAGGAACAGCUGCUGGCUGCGGAGCCCGUGCGCGCCAAGCUGGACAGGCAGCGCCGCGUCUUCCAGCCCUCGCCCCUGGCCUCGCAGUUCGAACUGCCUGGGGACUUCUUCAACCUCACAGCAGAGGAGAUCAAGCGGGAGCAGAGGCUCAGGUCCGAGGCGGUGGAGCGGCUGAGCGUGCUGCGGACCAAGGCCAUGCGGGAGAAGGAGGAGCAGCGGGGGCUGCGCAAGUACAACUACACGCUGCUGCGCGUGCGCCUCCCCGAUGGCUGCCUCCUGCAGGGCACUUUCUACGCUCGGGAGCGGCUGGGGGCGGUGUACGGGUUCGUCCGGGAGGCCCUGCAGAGCGACUGGCUGCCUUUUGAGCUGCUGGCCUCGGGAGGGCAGAAGCUGUCCGAGGACGAGAACCUGGCCUUGAACGAGUGCGGGCUGGUGCCCUCUGCCCUCCUGACCUUCUCGUGGGACAUGGCUGUGCUGGAGGACAUCAAGGCCGCGGGGGCCGAGCCGGACUCCAUCCUGAAACCCGAGCUCCUGUCAGCCAUCGAGAAGCUCUUGUGAAAUAAAAGCAGGGUUGGCC